rnacentral:rRNA from 1 species
ACUGAACGCUGGCGGCAGGCCUAACACAUGCAAGUCGAGCGAGCGGCGGACGGGUGUGUAAUGUAUGGGGAUCUGCCCGAUAGAGGGGGCUAACUACUGGAAACGGUGGCUAAUACCGCGUACCAUAGGAUGAGCCCAAGUGGGAUGAGGUAGUUGGGUAGGUAAAGGCACACCAAGCCGACGAUCUCUAGCUGGUCUGAGAGGAUGAUCAGCCACACGAGGACUGAAACACGACCCAGACUCCUACGGGAGGCAGCAGUGGGGAAUAGUGCACAAUGGGCUCAAGCCUGAUGCAGCCAUGACGGUUGGAUGAGGAAGGCCUUAGGGUUGUAAAGUACUUUCAGCGGGGAGGCGUUACCCGCAGAAGAAGCACCGGCUAACUCCGUGCCAGCCGACGCGGUAAUUC